rnacentral:rRNA from 1 species
GACGAACGCUGGCGGCGCGCCUAACACAUGCAAGUCGAACGAGCGAGAGAGAGCUUGCUUUCUUGAGCGAGUGGCGAACGGGUGAGUAACGCGUGAGGAACCUGCCUCAAAGAGGGGGAAAACAGUUGGAAACGACUGCUAAUACCGCAUAAGCCCACGACCCGGCAUCGGGUUGAGGGAAAAGGAGCAAUCCGCUUUGAGAUGGCCUCGCGUCCGAUUAGCUAGUUGGUGAGGUAACGGCCCACCAAGGCGACGAUCGGUAGCCGGACUGAGAGGUUGAACCGGCAGCAUUGGACCUAGGACCCGGCCAGCCACCUUAGGGAGGGCGGCGGUGGGGAUAAUUACACAAGGGGGAAACCCUGAUGCAGCGACGCCGCGUGGAGGAAGAAGGUCUUCGGAUUGUAAACUCCUGUUGUUGAGGAAGAUAAUGACGGUACUCAACAAGGAAGUGACGGCUAACUACGUG